GGGGGUAUAGCUCAGUGGUAGAGCAUUUGACUGCAGGCUGUCCUCAAAUGAGUCAUGAAGUACCAGGCUGAGCCAGCCUGCUCCUCCA
rnacentral:tRNA from 1 species